CAGCAGCAGCCGCGGGAACACAGAGGGUGCGAGCGUUAAUCGGAUUUACUGGGCGUAAAGCGUGCGUAGGCGGCUUCUUAAGUCGGAUGUGAAAUCCCUGAGCUUAACUUAGGAAUUGCAUUCGAUACUGGGAAGCUAGAGUAUGGGAGAGGAUGGUAGAAUUCCAGGUGUAGCGGUGAAAUGCGUAGAGAUCUGGAGGAAUACCGAUGGCGAAGGCAGCCAUCUGGCCUAAUACUGACGCUGAGGUACGAAAGCAUGGGGAGCAAACAGGAUUAGAGACCCCCGUAGUCCCUGUCUCUUAUAA
rnacentral:rRNA from 1 species